UUUAUGCCCAGGGCUACACACGUGCUACAAUGGGUGGUACAAAGAGAUGCAAUCUCGCAAGAGCAAGCAAAACCUCAAAAAGCCAUCCUCAGUUCGGAUUGGAGUCUGCAACUCGACUCCAUGAAGUCGGAAUCGCUAGUAAUCGCGGAUCAGUACGCCGCGGUGAAUACGUUCCCGGGCCUU
rnacentral:rRNA from 1 species